CUCCCGAAAUACAUUCUAUUCGAAAUUAGACUACAUCCAACCGUAUGUGAUUAAAUUUGGAGCAAUGUAUUAGAAUGAAGUUAAGCGAUCUCCAACCGAUUCGGUCAAAGGUUAAAAUAACUUAAAAUGACACUGAAAAUCAUCUACAACUAAAGACUAUGCCACAGAGCUGGUAGGUCCCACCGGGACCAAAAAAGAUGAAUCAAACCAAUUGCCUAGUCCCAAAGGAGCUAGCCAGCUAGCCCCGGGCUGACUUCCUCCAUCUCCCAAACACGUUCCGUACAGUGUCCAUCUCCCCAACGAGUAUCGCAAAACCUCUGUGUCUUGUGAAAGAGACCUGAAACAAGGCCGUAUCGCCCGGCGCACGAGCUGACUGUGCCGUUGCUGGGGAAGACGAUUAUGAAGAUCUUGGACCGGGCGACGGAUUAUGCGGCGUAAGUGCUGUUGUCGCUGUGCUAGAAUACCUCGCCGUUGAGGUGUUGGAGCUCGCUGGAAACGCUGCAAGGGACAACAACAAGAACCGCAUUAUUCGUGGCCCGAGAGCCCUUUGGAAAUUUCACUCUUUUUUUUUUUUUUUUCUUUUUUUUUUCUUUUUCUCAUUAAUUUUCUUAAUCUCUACUUUUCAGAUUUUUAGUAGGAAAAAAGGAAAAGGAAAGUGAAAAUUGAGGUUGUAGAUUAUUGGUAUAUAAAAAUAUUGUAAUUUUUUGUGUAUUUUGUAUGUAAGCAUUUUUGUUUAGAUUAUUGGUAUAUAAAAAUAUUGUAAUUUUCUGU